rnacentral:lncRNA from 1 species
GGGGUGCUGGCUGAGGCUGUGUGUCACGCGCCCCCCGCCCCCGCCUCUUCCCGCAGAUCUGAGGUGCGGAGAGGGACGAGGGCGUUAGGGACCCCUAGAGAGGGCGUGGGUGAUCGGAUGAGCUCUGAGGUCUCUAAACAUUCCUUGACUCUUUGAGGCUGCAAACAAGAUUUCGGGCUGUGUCGUCCGUCCCGGGCUCGAACUUAAAAUUCUCGCCCAUGGCGCAGUGGAAGGUUUGAAGCCGGAGGCUGUGGGACCAGUGUUGCCCCUUGGGGGAUAAGUGACCUUGGGAAGGUCACUUCCCUUUACCCGGCCUGGUAUAAUGCACUGUGGGGGUGGCUGGAGUGAUCGUGCUGUUAGUAGCAGUCUCAGUCAGACUGAGUAUGAAGGCAGCUCAGGCUGAGAAGAUUGGUGCCCACCGCCGGCCUCAGUCAUCCCCCACCGGCUGAUUUGGAGUCUGGGAUCCUUCACCUCUGGUUGUACUCGGAGUUACAGCGGUAGAAGCAGCAGCUCU